rnacentral:misc_RNA from 1 species
GAUGAAGAACGCAGCGAAAUGCGAUAGUAGUGUGAAUUGCAGAAUUCAGUGAAUCAUCGAAUCUUUGAACGCACAUUGCGCCCCUUGGUAUUCCAUGGGGCAUGCCUGUUCGAGCGUCAUUUGUACCUUCAAGCUCUGCUUGGUGUUGGGUGUUUGUCUCGCCUCUGCGUGUAGACUCGCCUUAAAACAAUUGGCAGCCGGCGUAUUGAUUUCGGAGCGCAGUACAUCUCGCGCUUUGCACUCAUAACGACGACGUCCAAAAGUACAUUUUUACACUCUUGACCUCGGAUCAGGUAGGGAUACCCGCUGAACUUAAGCAUAUCAAUAAGCGGAGGA